rnacentral:lncRNA from 13 species
GUGCCAGGAAGUGAUUUCUUAGCAAGAGGCAAAACCACUCACUGUUCAAAACCAACGUGGCUGAGCUGAACAUUUCAGCAACAUCUGUGAAUUUCUCUGCAAACUCAUCAGCAGGAACAGCUGGUAAUUUACCAACCAAAUAAGCAAGGUAAAUGGCUCUACAGAGAACUCCCUUGAAUGGCAUGGACCAUGGGGUGGAGGAAAUCAGAUUACGUUCCGGACAUCCACCACCUAACAUCGUGCCUGUCCGGCCUGCUCUAGUAUUUGAGGCAAUGGAAUCAGAGCAUCUGUCCUCUUCUUCCAUGACCAGCUGCUCUCAGUCAGCGUCAUGUGGAAGGGGUUCUUCAGUCCUUUACACGAGACGUCUGCAGCAGCAGCAAGGCCACCCUCCAGACUGGUAUAAGGUAAAUUCAACGGAUCACAUCGAAUUACAGAAGCAGCUGUUGAAAGUAGCUGUGAAGGGGAGGAGCUAUUUGGACAGGCUAAUUUGCUUCAAGAUGGGAUCUGUAAAGGGGUUCCUGGAGCUGGUUGGGUAUGAGAAGGGCCGCCUGAAAAGACAUUUGCUUUAGGCUUCCCAGAUGUGCAUGAAAGAAGAGAGAGGCUGCUUGAAGACACCGUGGAAUAUCGGGAAUGUCCCUGGCACUAAAGCCUUUGCCAGUCUUCAACCAGGAGUGCUCCGAUUGCAACCACAGAGGCCACUGGGUCCCAUUUUCAACAUCUUUUGAAAAUUGCAACAAUUAAUAGUGUCCUUCUCAAGAGAAAACUCUUCUGACAUAGGUUUUCAUGUUUAAAGUAAAAAGGAACACCCCACACACAUUCUUUCUAAACUACACCUUUUCUAUUUUCUAGUGGAAAUUGUGACCACAGGUUACCAUGUUUUCCUUCCUGUGUUUGAAAACCACAUGUGUUCUAGUGAAAACAUUAAGGUGAGCAAUGAAAUGGAAGAUUUCAAAGUACCAGACACCUGUCACGAGAAAUGGAACUAUCUGACUUAUUCCUUCUUCUAAGACAGUAAAUUCGAGUGAGUCGAAGGUGUAAUUUGUAGUCAAUCCACCUCAGCUGAAUGUAAAUCAUGCAUCCUGAUCUGGAGUAAAAAUAUUACACAAAUGCUUUUCAGAGUUAGGUUAUUUCGUACUUUAUGGAUUUGUCAGAUGGAAGAAAUGUUAUCUAGUCCAUUGCUUUGUUUUACAGCAGAGGAAACUGAGGCCUGGAGAGAUGAUGGGACUCCCCAAGUUCUUGUGGCUUGUCAGGGGUGGAGCCCAGACAUGUCAUGAUCAUGAGUCUGUAGUUCGAGGACUCAAAGGUCCACCAUCUGCCACCACAGCAUGCUGCCUUGUUCCCUACUCACAUAGCAGAUAACAGCAGAAAAAGGCAGGGAGGGGCACUAUUGAGUUUCCUAGGAACGUUGAUGUUUUAUUUAAACUCAGUUUCACCUAUAAGGUAGGUAAAUACAAGCAGAGGCAUGUUGUCCAAACUAGCCAGCAACUGCUAUGUGAGCAGGUUCUUUAAGAAUCAAUGGGAGACAUUUGUGACUAGGAUUUGUUUCCGUUAUAGGUGAGAAAGAAGGUG